CCUGGCGCGGGAGCCGGGCCUCUGCCAUGGGGGUGGGCGCCAGCACCGAGCAGCCCGCGGGCGGCGCCGAGGGCUUCCACCUGCACGGGGUGCAGGAGAACUCCCCAGCCCAGCAGGCGGGCCUGGAGCCCUACUUUGACUUCAUCAUCACCAUCGGGCACUCGCGGCUG